UCCGAAGGAGUUGUGCACCGAUACACGGAAGUGAAGUAUUCUGAGUGCUGGGAAAUUGUUGGUUGUUUAUUGCAAAACACCUAGUUAAUGCUUGAUGUGAUCAUAUCAGCCAUUCUUUGUCUCCUUGCAUGCAGUAAGUUGUUGUGUAUUAAUAGUUCAUACUACUUGCAUGCACAUUUUAACAUUUUUGACAUCAUUUUCAUUACUUCCACUACUUCUGUUUUUGCUAUGUCUCAGUCUGUCAGCAAAAUAACUCAAAAAGUUCUUUGUGGAUUUGUAUGAAACCUUGUGUGUAGAUUUGUCCUGAGCCAGGGAAGAAAUUAUUAAAUUUUCAUGUUUGUCCGCCUAAAGAUAGAAGAAGGAAUAUAAACUAGGGAUGCACAAUCUGGAUUUUUUUACAGCUGAUAAACAACCGAUAAUGACCUGCUUCGCCGAGAUGAUAUAGACAACUGGUAAAUUCAGAUUUCUAUUUUUAAAAGAAGUACAUAAUACCUGUAGUUUCUGCACAACUGAGUGUCAGAAAGGUUCAGAUUUUGUGAGCAGAAAUAGAUGAUUUAAUAUUUCACAGCCAUGACUGAAAAAGAUGUAACUGUGACAUCACUGUUGCAACAAAAACAAUUCUAACUCUUAAAGUAUUCAUUUAGUUUUUCUAGUAAAGGUCAUUAAAAAACUUCACAAAUGUACAACUUUCAUAGAGCAUUUUUCCUACAUAUUCAAAUUAAAUGCUGUGAAAAUCUGUCAAAUCAGAUAUUAGUAUAGCCAAUAUUUAUCUGUUAGUAUAUGCCGAUGUCAGUAUGAACCGAUAUUUGCUGGAUAAGCCAAUAUCAGCCAAUAAUUCAUCAGAACAGGUAUUUAUUGUGUAUCCCUAAUAUAAACGUCCCGCUCCACUCAAAAAUGUUUUUCCUCUUCUUCCAACAGUUGGAUGUUUGAGCUUCACCGUGAAGAAUGAUGUGUAUAUACAGUUUGUUUUCACAUUCGUCUGCUUAAAGUGAAAUGUUUCUCUGUGCUUAUUGAAAAUCCAAGUUUAAGGGGGGCCUAGGACCAUAAUUUGUGAAGUCACAAGUAGUUUGGAAGCCAGGUCUUUGUGCUUACACAAGUAUGAUCUGGAAACCUGAAGCUGGAAGAUGUCUUGUGUCCAACAGUUAAACCUGUGAGACAAAAUAUAUUGGUGCAUUUAUAGAUUGUGGAAUUUUUAAUAAGGUAGAAGGAACAGACAUAAUUUUAAGGAUUGUAAUAAAAUAUAUUUGUCUCUUUCUGUGGAAAAACAAUAUCAGACACAAACUAUUUUUCUAAGUACCAUAUUUUCCAUGCCACGCCGCUGCGCUCCCCACUGGACGUGGUGAGCACCGGCAAGAGCCUGACGCUCCCCCAGAGCUUGCCCUUCCCCGAUCCCACACCUUUAGUGAGUUUUUGGCCCGAGUGGCAUUUGUGUUGAUUGGUUAAAUAAAUCCAUUCAAACAGUGAUCUGCUUGCCGACUGCCCUGUUAGCUUUCACUUUGGGCUUGAAAUUCCCACAUACCAUGACACCUCUUCACUUCCUCAUCUUCUUCUCCUCCACUCAGAGCCUCAUUAUUGCACCCUUUGAUCGCUGUGAGCUACUUAUUGAAAACUACUGUAAAUGAGGUGAAAUAUGAUGGAAAAGUUUUCUGAAGCAUUUAAGUUGAGUACAAAAAAAGAAGAAAACACUGUCAUCCAUUCCAUUAAAAACACAUUAAGGACAGAUGGUGACACAGAAACACUAGUUUUUCUCUUUUUAUUUUUCAGAGUUUAUCAAUGAGCCAGUCUUCGGAGUGUUGCUGAAGCAUUAUUGGCUGUAAACAUGUGGAACAGUGGAAGCUGACCUCUGUGUGCAAAAUGUAGAGGGAACAUCGAAGCCAGCAACAUAUUUGAAGUUAAUGGUCUGUCAGAGGAUUUCUGUUCUGAGAUCCCUUUUUGAAGAGGAGUAACAUUUUGCACUUUCAUACUCAAAUACUGUAGGCCUGUUGUUUGUUUUAUUGUUUCAGAUAUUUGGGUCAGAGUUCUUGUACUACUAAUGUGAAUUCAUUCACAUGUUUGGGCUGGAUGACGUCAUAUUAGUGUUCACUGUUUUAGUGAGAUUAACAUUUAUCUUUACAUACAUUGCCACCAUUUAAUUGUUCUAGUUACAAAUGUACAUUCUUUAAAGUUGUGGUUAUGAGAGACCAGUGCGUCUGUGUAUGGAGCCAUGUUGUUAUUCACUGCUCUAUAGAAUUAUGAAAUGUCGGAAUAUUUCUCUGCAAACUGAUUAUCAACUCUCAAGUUUGUCCUGUUCAGUUGUCAGUAAGGAUCCCAGCUUUUGGCUGUAAAGGUCCACUAAGUUCAAAUACAGCAAAUGUCUUUUCACACAUUGCGUUGAGUUGUUGUUAUGAGAUAGAGCAAUGCUGCUUUGUAUGGGGCAAAAUCCUCGUUCACUGCUCUCGAGAACAAAUCUGAAAUGUCUGAAUAUUUCUCUGCAAGCUGAUUCUCAACUGUAAGUUUGUUCUGUUCAUUUGAAAAUGGAUCAAUUCCAGAAGUAGAAUGUGUUGUAAACUAUAAUUAGUUUCCAUGUUAGUUGUACUUUGCAUGUAUCAUCUGUCUUAUCAUGCAUGUAUUAUACUGUGUGUUUUAUGGUCCUUGUGUCCCCCCCACCUCUCUACCUCUAUCCCUCUAUCUCUAUUCCUCUAUCUCUAUUCCUCUAUCUCUAUCCCUCUAUCUCUAUUCCUCUAUCUCUAUUCCUCUAUCUCUAUCCCUCUAUCUCUACCUCCAUCCCUCUAUCUCUACCUCUCUACAUCUUCUGCCCCUCUCAACCCACCCGGCCAGCAGGCAGAUGGGUUCCCCCACAUAAAGAGCCGGGUUCUGCUCAAGGUUUUUUUUCCCUGUUAAAAGGGUGUUUUCCUGCCACUGUCUCCUUAGGGCUGCUCUGGGGGUUCAGGCAUAUGGGUUCUGUAAAGCGUCUCGAGACAAUUUGACCGUAAUUGGCGCUAUAUAAAUAAAACUGAAUUGAAUUGAAUUGUUGUCAGUGAGGAUCCCAACUGUUGGCUGUAAAGGUCUGCUGCUUCAACUAAAUGAGGCAACAGCUCCUGUGGGAUUUUUUUGGAACAGCCACUGCCAGCCAAGUCGUUUGGUACACCUUUACCUGCAAAAUAAAGAAAGUAGUGCAGUUCUCAAAACUUAAAAGUGCUUGCUGUAAUUAUUCUAAUCUUUGCAACACUGGUUUAUUUCACCUGGAAUGGGGUGAGAAUUCCAUGACUCCACCAGUCUUGUAAGACCAAUCUGGCACAACUGGACAGUCAGGUUGGACACACAGUAUCUCACAAGGCCAUCGUUCAUGUCUAGUUCCUCCUGAUCCUCCAACUGCAGCAAGGCUGUCUUCAGUGGAUAGUUGACACAGUUGCUGACCUCAGGCCAGAUUCCUUCAACUAUAUGAUUCUGAAUGAUAUCUAAUCUGAAAGAUUAGAUAUCAUUCAAUUUGUUCUGCUGUGUUAAUGAAAAACGUUUUACGGUCCAUUCAGGAAAAAUGGUCAUUAUGCAGAAUUUCCAUAAAUCUGUAAAUUUACUGACUCAGAAGUCAAUAUGCACAUUUACCAGGAAAUCUGCAUGCUGACUACCUAUCUGGGUAUUAUGGACACUGACUGAUGAGCUAGUAAAUUUGCAAUUUUUAAUUUUCCCAAAGUUUGAUUAAAAAAAUAAAUAAAAGAACUAUGCUCGUCACAUAACUAGAAUAUAAAAUUUGAAUAACUACAGUGUGCUUGCUUCUGCAGUUGUUUUAAGUAAAAAAAAAAAAAAAAACAGGUUUAAAAAAACCCUUCUUGGCAAAUGGUAAUAUGUUUAAUAUCAUGUUUACUCUAAAAUUUGGAAAGCAUAGUAAUAAUAAAACGUAUGCAAGAAAACUGUAUGCUGCGGAAGUAGUUACCAUAACAGUAAUGAUAAUAAAGGCAGGCAUACAACACAAACCACACAAACUCUAAAAACGUAUCUUUGUGGAUGAAGUCUGUAAAUAAGGCCUUCUCUCCUGAUGGUGGCGAUGAGAGGACAGCAGCUCCUGCAUGAAGAGCAUCAAGUAAAACUCCUUGCCAUGAUCGACUCGCUCCUGGUCCCAGAUACCAUAGGCAUGUACUGCAGGCCUAUUGGGUGAAAAAGUCAAUUUUAAAAUCAGAUUUUUUAUAACAAUGAUGUUCAGCAGGUAUCAUUUAGUCACAGUUUAUACUGAAUGUGGUAGUCAUGUAUGUGCAAUAUGUACAACUAUUCCAAUGGCUUAAAAGGAACAGUCUGAUUUAUUUAGUAACAAUAUGUUGUUUUUUUGUUAUUUGCAGCCUCUUUUUUCACUCCAACAUCUGAAUGGCAUAACUGAUAGGUGGGGUUGAGGUUUAGUAGGGGUUUAAGAAUAUAGAAGAGUCUCUGCAAGUGACCAGUACAAAACACUAGUGGGACGUAGGGGUAGGCAAUAGGGGGGAAAAAAAUUAAAUAUCACAAUAUCUUUGACUGAAUACCACAAUGUUGAUAUUUUGACUACUGUUGCUUUCCUAAGAUAUUUACACAUAAGAUAUUUUUUAAAAAGACUCACUAGUAAUGUGGAUAUGAUGACCAAGCAGGUAGAGGCAGAGAACAGAACAGCUACCACAGUAUAAUAAACACCUAAAGAUGCAUCCUUUUACUGUAAAGCAACUGUAAAACCAGAAAGAGACUACACUCAUGUCUACACUGAAAAAAUGACAGAAUAUCCAUUUACUGUCCAUAGUAAUACAUAGACUGCUACCUGAAAACAUCUUCAUAGAUGGUAAGGUUGUUUUUAUCGGUAUAGUAGAGUGAGCAACAACCUUUUUGCUGAAGUCAUCAACAGCUAAAACAUGGGUGACUCCAAACAUAGCCAGUUUUUGAUUUUGGUCCAUAUGAAUCUUGUGUUACAUGUACUCAGCGUGAUAUGGUACGCUGCUAGGAUAAUAUAGUACUAUCAGGUCUUUAAGAUAUGAUGGAGAUUGGUUGUUAAGAGCUUUAUAUGUCAGAAGAAGGAUUUUGAAUUCUAUUCUACAUUUCAUAGGAGGCCAAUGAAGAGAAACCAAUAUAGGAGAAAUAUGGUCUCUCUUGCUAACUCCCGUCAGUACUCUGGCUGCAGCAUUUUGGAUCAGCUGUAGAUGUUUCAGAGAGCUAUUGGGACAACCUGAUAAUAAGGAAUUACAGUAGUCAAGCCUUGAAGUAACAAAUGCAUGGACUAGUUUUUCUGCAUCACUCUGAGACAGGAUGUUCCUGAUUUUUACAAUAUUUCUCAGGUGGAAAAAGAAAGUCCUACAGAUUUGUUUUAUGUGUGAGUUAAAGGACAUGUCCUGGUCAAAGAUAACACCGAGGUUCCUCACAGUAGUACUGGAGGCCAAUGUAAUGCCAUCCAGAGUAACUAUAUGCUUUGAAAGCAAUUCUCUAAGAUGUUUGGGGCCAAAUACAAUGACUUCAGUCUUGUCUGAAUUUAGUAGUAAGAAAUUAUAGGUCAUCCAGGUCUUUAUGUCCUUAAGACAAUCUUGCAGUCUAGCUAGCUGAUUAGUUUCAUUUGGCUUCAUAGAUAAAUACAAGUGAGUGUCGUCAGCGUAACAAUGGAAAUUAAUACAGUGCUUCCUAAUAAUAUUGCCUAAGGGAAACAUGUAUAAUGUGAACAGUAUUGGUCCUAAGACAGAGCCCUGAGGAACUCCAUGAUUAACCCUAGUUACAUUUUUAAUGCAAUUUAAUGCAACUCAAUGUCAUGUGCUCUGACAUGAUGCUGGGUUUGGAUUUCUCUGGAUUGCAGAAGCAGUUUUUUUGUGUUGCUGAAAGGAUUACUGGGGUUUAACUAGCAAUGAGCCACUGUGACAAAAUGCAUUAUUCUACCAUGUUUACAGGUCAUUUCUAUUUUUUAUGAUUAUGAAUAUUUUACAUUAACACAUGAUCACAUGUAAGUUAAAGCUAGAAACUGUAUACUACUAAUAUAUUUUUAGGAGAUGGGUUAUUUGUUUUGGCGUCCCAGCUUCUGAAACAACCAAUAUUAACCGUUUCCUUUUUCUUUCUUUCCUUCUUUUCACAACAUUGGCUUAAAAUGAAUGUGAGUCAAUGAAAUGUCCUCUGACCUGAUGGCACCACAACUGUGAUGAAAAUUAGCUUUUCAUAGAAGGUCUAAAAUGCUGUUUUUGCUGCCAUGGGUUCAAUUAGAUGCUUGCUGGUCGUUAUCUCUGUAUCCCAGGCAGGCUGUUUGCUCAGAGGGCUGAUGGAGGUCAUUGCCCAUGAAGGGGUACCCAUGAAUAUUUUAAUAUUUCUGUCCCGUCUCGCAUUGCUUUUUGUCAAGCGCCCAUCUGACUGGUGGCCACUCAAUGAAAGAAGAGAGAGAAGGAGGAAGAAGAAUGUGAAGCUAGAGGGAUGGAAGCUUCCAGAAUCUUGUUUCUUCUCCUUUGUAGCACCAUUGUAAGUUCCAUAGAAGGAAUGGAGGAGUGAAAGUGUUGACAUUUAAAGGCAACAAAGGAUUGGGAGAGAGGAAAUAACUUCUGGAAUCCAGUCGGAGAAAAUCACCACCAUCUGACAGGAGGGAAAUUGUUCCUGAACCUCGGUGACAACCCUUAAGUGUAGAUCUGUGAGAGAUGUUUUGCUUUCACCAGGAGAAAAAGAAAUAAGUGCAGAGGAGUGACAUUUUACAUCCAUCUAACAGGUAAUCACAGGCUCCCAGACUGGUGAUGUCACGUGAGCGGCUGCCUGUGAUUGGUUCAUUUGGGACUAAAGCAGUCAAACCACCUCUCUUCUCCCCGGCUCUCCAGCGCCCCCACCAGACCAAUCGCCGAAAACUUAAGUGCCACCACCAGACGUCACCCUCGUCCUCCUCUCACCCUCAUCCAGGUCCUUCCUCCAUCCUCCUCUCCGACAGCACCAUGACGCCAUGGGGAGGCCUGGAUCACUCCGAAUCGUCCUUCACCUCCAUUCCUCCAGCGCCUCCUCCACCUCCUCUGUCCACACCAUCCACGCCUUAUCGGGGGAGACAGGAGGAGGAUGAGGAAAGUUCUGGUUCAAGUUUUAACUCUGAAAUUCCGUCUCCACCUCUGGUGAUCCCUCAGAACAGUGCAGCCGGUUUGGGUGGAGAUUUGCGUUUGAGGAGGAGAGUUUUACCUCCUCGUCAGGUUCCUCGUCCUCCUCGCCUCCCACCGCUGCGUCCCAUCUCCAACCUCAGUUUCUCCCGGAGCUUCACGUUCUCCUUCUUCGAGCUGCCGCUGCAUCAGAGUCCUCGCUGCCGGGCCGAACGCAUCAAAAACCUCCUGCUGCUUCUGAAACAAAUACACUUCUGAAGACUCUGCUGCAUAGUCUGCUUUUCUGGUAUUAGUGCUGCAUGCAACAGCGCAUGCAGAAAGUCCUGGAAAACGUGGUGCAGUGAGUGUAAAUUAUAAAUUCUAGAAAUGAGCCGGAUUGCCUGAGCUUUCAGUUAGACCUGCGUAUCAUUUCUGAACUUCUGUGAUUUGAAUUUUUGAACAUUAUGAACAAAUUGCUUAAAAAAAGGUGAAGUUUGAACAUAGAACUGUUUUCAUGCACAUUUUCUAGAGAGAAAACCAAAAUUAUUAUUCUGUACAGAGAUAACAUGACAGCUCCUGACCCCUCAACUGGAUAACAACUUGAAUUAUACAGAAAGAGUCACAGUAUAUUUUAUUUCUCUGCAAUUAUAUAUUACAUUAUGAAUAAAGGCAGGAAUUUUCAUCAGAUGACUUCAAUUACUCCAUUUGGGCAAAAACAUAAAUUGAUUAAUGAGGGCGACUGCGUGCAUAGAAAAUUUUUUUAAAAAAAAUCAUUUUAAAAGAGCAGAAAAAAGACAUUUUGCACCUUUGUCAUACGAUGAAACACCGCAAAAUGUAAAAAAAUAAAUAAAUAAAUAAAAAAACCACAAAGUUCCAAUGCCCCAGAUAGGAGCAACAAGAUGCUUCUGGUUGAGGAUCUGGUCAACAUCAUGCUUUCUGUAGUUGUAAUAUCUCCACGUUUGGGUGAUUGUUACACAUUUUUCCUGGAUUUUCUGUUGAUUAAGUUGCUGUAUUAGAACUUUUUAUUACUAUUUAUUGGUUUGAUUCUUUAACUAAUUGCUGCCAUCAUAAAUCAUUCUGAUUUCUUCCUGGGAUGAAGAACAGAAAACUUUAUAAUCAUUUAACUUACUCCAAAAACAACUUCUGUAGCAGUUUUCUUGGAUUCUUUUUGUGUUCUGCACAGUUUUGUGGAGGUUUCUUGUUAUUCUCUUUGGUUUUCUUUCUCUUUAUUCUUAAUUUCCUCCAUAACAGGUUUCCACUCAAUUUGAUAUUUUCCCAGUUGGAGUGGCUGUUAAAAAUGAUUGAUUUUUCAAAGUGGAACCCAUUAAAAUAGAUUAAAACACA